GAUGAAGAACGUAGCGAAAUGCGAUAAGUAAUGUGAAUUGCAGAAUUCAGUGAAUCAUCGAAUCUUUGAACGCACAUUGCGCCCAUUAGUAUUCUAAUGGGCAUGCCUGUUCGAGCGUCAUUUCAACCAUCAAGCCCUGCUUGUGUUGGGGUCCUGCGGCUGCCCGCAGGCCCUGAAAACCAGUGGCGGGCUCGCUAGUCACACCGAGCGCAGUAGCACAUCUCGCUCAGGGCGUGCGGCGGGCUCCAGCCGUUAAAGCACCCACCUUUCGCAAGGUUGACCUCGGAUCAGGUAGGAAUACCCGCUGAACUUAAGCAUAUCAAUAAGCGGAGGA
rnacentral:misc_RNA from 1 species